UUUUGCAGGGUGGGGAGGACAGAGAAGCUGCAGGGAGAGAUGAAGUUUUUUCCUUGAGGAUGAAAAGCUCUUAACCUUGCACGUUUGGCUUCUUCUAUUCAAUUUUUUUAAAAGCAGAGAUAGGGAGCUCACAGAAUCCUCCCCACAAAGCCGAGAAGCAGGAAGCAGCAACCCUCCCAGAUGAAGAAGCGAAGGCUCGGAAAAGCUAAGUAACUUCUCCAAGCUGACGCAGCUCGUGAGAGGAGGGACUGGGAUUCAAAUCCCUGCAGGGGGAGACCAGCAGCCCCGACUUCAGCCGCCAUGCCUCCUGCCUGAGAAGCUAGCUGCGAAGGUUCCAGAAGGAGACUGCCCUCCGGGAACAGAAACAGCGCAUGACUGCGACCUGUCUGCAAAAAUCUUGAUCACUUGUAAAUCCUUCUCCACCUGAUAAGUUAUCACAUUGGCUCAUGAUGUUUUUUUUCAUUCUCACCCUAUGGCGUGGAUGCUGUUACUACCCCAUUUUACAAAGGAGUAAAGUGAGGCCCAGAGAGAACAGUUAAAUCACUUCCCCAGCUUCACUCAACUCAUCUACGGAAGAAAUGUACCACCACUCUGAAGAAUGAAAGAAAGCAAGCUAAAAAGGAGAGAGAGCAUGAAGAAGGAAGACAAAACUGAAGUUAGGUCAUGGAAACCAGAAGAGAUCCUGGGGCCACA
rnacentral:lncRNA from 10 species